UCUCUAUGCAGUUCCAAACGACUCUCCCCACUUCUCUGUAGCGCAACCGCGACUAUGGCUUCUGCCAAAACCCUAGCCUGCUCCCUCACACGAGCCCUCUUCCGACCCGCUCCACGCUAACUCUUCUGAGCCCCACCACAACAGCGAUGGCUUCGGCCCGGGCACCGGAGACUCAUUCCGCCAUCGCACCCGCUACGACUCCGUAGCCAACAACUCCGGCGGUGAGGACGGGGCUGGGGGACGGAAGCGCAAGACGCAGUGUGCUGAGGAGGAGCGACGCCUGGCUAUCGUGCUCUCAGACUUCAUGAAGAACUUCGCCGCCGAGAUGGACCCCGAGGUGCACGCCCUAAACACAUGCCUCCAGAUUUCGUGUCUGCUACAGUCGGGCCUCCCGCUUGACGAUUGCUUCGAGGGCACGCACUCGCCCUCCCCUGAGCUUGGUUCAUAUUGAGUGCAGGAUUAAUAGAUUCUCGCAUUUGCUCUGUUUUCCUUGUCAUGACAUUUGCAGCGAGUGUCUGUGUGUUAAGGUUACUAGGAUAUGAGACUUCUAUGAUCCUGGAGAUGAUAAAAAACUUCUGCAUUCUGAUCUUGUACUGAUCGAUGAGGAGGUACAACACACAUUUUCCUUCUAUGCGUCAAACCCUGCUUGCUUAUGUUGGGAGAGGGUGGUUGCUAUUGGUCCUCCUUAAUAUAAGGGAGUAAAAUAUUAUUGCAUAGAAACGUAGACUGUAACCCACUACAACAGGCACAAUACUACCGUAUAGUCACAAGAUCAGACAGCUAAGAAGCAACUUUUCACAAUACAUUUGAGGUUCUAUAAUGUUACCUUUGGUUAUUCUAUAUGUUUUCAUGGAUGCAUUAUUGAUCCCUGCAAAUACUAUGCACAUUGCAUUUUUUAUUCCUCUAGAUUUUUACCACUUCUUCCAUGUCUGCAAAGUACAGACGAAGAAAUGUAAUGCGUGUAACUACCUCUGUACGUAAUUAGCUGGGUGCCCUAGGUCUCUUGAAAGUAUUUUUGUUCUGUAUAUAAACUGGGCAAUUGCCAUUUUCCUUUUAGACGGCUCCCUUGCUGUGUUUUAUUGUUACAAAUAAACACCCCCAUCAUUUAAGCUUUAUAGGAGAGGAAAUAACAGGCCUAAAAGUCAAGGCAGGUAGCAGUCCUUGGUUUAGCUUUGUAAUGGGGAAUAUAUGUAUUUGUAGACAUCCUAUGUCUUAACACUUAAAUUAACUGAGCCAUACUAUUUUAACAUCCUCCAUUCCAAAGUAUUGCGUCGUCUUCGUGGGGACGAGGCGGCGCUGGUCGGCGACAACGACGGCGACUACAAUCCACGCGCCACAGCCUCCCUCUCUGCACCGCGUCGCCGCUUCUCACAGAUAUCUGUUUCUGCUGCAUUUGAAGGACAACUUCAGGACUGCAAUGGCGCUUCAAUAUAACCAAAGAUUUAGAUAAAACAGGUGAGGUUAUAUGGUUUCUUUAUUACUUUUUUUAAAAAAAAAGUUUGCCACCUACAUCAGUGUUUUUUAUUGCAACGAGUUGAAUACUAAUGUUUUCCCUUACCUCUUUAUCACAUAAACAUUUUAUUACUCCCCCGAUCAUUCUAUUUACUCUAAAGAAAACAAAAACAGGACAACGCUGCAAGAUAGGUAUGUAUUUCAAUCUUCUAAAAUUAUGUUUCUUUCUCCAUCAGGGCUUUUUAGGUUAUAUUCAUUUUCUUUGUUCCUUUUAAAGUCAUACACAUAUCUUAAGUAAAUCGAGGCACGCCGCUCCAUGUUUCAUCAGCUCUAAACUACUUUUUUACUUCUAUAGCCGUGCUCAAAUAGGUUGUUUAAUUAUGUCCUCAUUGCAAUAUCAUUGGUAAAGUAGGCAGUAGUCAUAGGAUAUUCUGUACUAAGGUUGCUUUUUAUAGGAAUUACUUGAACUAAAUAACAACAAUGUAUGAUCUGUCUAGGAAUAAGAUUGUUUAUAUCAUAUUGUAUACAUGCUGAAAGUAGCAGCAAGCAGCAGAUUUCCUAAACUAUGUUCCCAAGUAGUUCACAUGUAAUUGUGUGUUCUUGAAGUGCAGAACAAUCCACCACAACCACGACGCGAAGGACUCCAAGCUACAAUUUUUGCAUCACUAAAACAAAAAAACAACAGUAAUGCAUCCAAGUUCUGAACCUGGAACACUAUGAAGAUGCAAGGGCUUGCUGCAUAUGGAUAUUUGUUUUGCCUAUUGGUUUAUUUAGGAUCUAGAUCACCGAUGACUACGAGUCAUAUGUAAAUAUAUUUUUAUCAUACCAAAAGUGUCUCGAACAUAUAUUAUAUAUGAAACUAUGGAUCAACUUCUUGUAAUGCAAUUAUUGAUUUUUAAUA